rnacentral:rRNA from 1 species
CCUACGGGGGGCACCAGUGGGGAAUAUUGGACAAUGGGCGAAAGCCUGAUCCAGCGAUGCCGCGUGUGUGAAGAAGGUCUUCGGAUUGUAAAGCACUUUCGACGGGGACGAUGAUGACGGUACCCGUAGAAGAAGCCCCGGCUAACUUCGUGCCAGCAGCCGCGGUAAUACGAAGGGGGCUAGCGUUGCUCGGGAUGACUGGGCGUAAAGGGCGCGUAGGCGGUUUAUGCAGACAGAUGUGAAAUCCCCGGGCUUAACCUGGGAACUGCAUUUGAGACGCAUAGACUAGAGGUCGAGAGAGGGUUGUGGAAUUCCCAGUGUAGAGGUGAAAUUCGUAGAUAUUGGGAAGAACACCGGUGGCGAAGGCGGCAACCUGGCUCGAUACUGUCGCUGAGGCGCGAAAGCGUGGGGAGCAAACAGGAUUAGAUACCCCUGUAGUC